UGCAUCGGCCGGGAAUCGAACCCAGGUCGCCCGCGUGGCAGGCCAGCAUUAUAUCACUGAACCACCGAUGG
rnacentral:tRNA from 1 species